CACUUUGAACCAUGAGACCCUCACAGGUGGUGUUCAGGUUGGAGGCAUAUGAAAAGCCCAACAUUAGUGACGUCAGCGUGGAGCUGCAGCAGUGAGCAGGAAACAGCUGCAGCUCUCUGACUCUGUGUGUUUGCAUACAUGUGUCCUCCUCUCUGCUUCCAGCCAUAAGAGGCUGCUGUCCAUCAGUGGCUGUCCAGGCCUUUCACACACACAUGAUGAUGUCACUGACUCUGCUGCUGGCCACCCUGGGGCUCCUUGUUCAGGCCUCAUCAGGAGAAAUCCUCAUGACUCAGUCUCCUGGAUCUCAGUCUGCUGUUCCAGGACAGACUGUCUCCAUCAGCUGUAAAGCCAGUUCAUAUGUUAGUAACUACCUCUCCUGGUACCUUCAGAAACCUGGAGAAGCUCCUAAACUCCUGAUUUAUAGUACUUCAUCCCGUCAGUCUGGAGUUUCAGAUCGUUUCAGUGGAAGUGGAUCUAAUACUGACUUCACUCUGACCAUCAGUGGAGUUCAGGCUGAAGAUUCAGGAGUUUACUACUGUCAGCAGGGUGCGAGCUACCCGUGGACUUUUGGUGGAGGAACCAGACUGGAUGUUGGAAGUGAUGCCCCUCCCACCCUGACGGUGCUGCCCCCCUCCAGUGAGCAGCUGCAGCAGGGGACGGCCACGCUCAUGUGCCUGGCCAACAAGGGCUUCCCCUCAGACUGGAGUCUGUCCUGGAAGGUGGACGGCAGCAGCAGCAGCAGCAGCUGGGAGCAGAGCAGCAGCCCCGGGGUGCUGGAGAAGGACGGCCACUACAGCUGGAGCAGCACCCUGAGGCUCUCUGCAGACCAGUGGAGGAAGGUGGGCUCUGUGACCUGUGAGGCCACCCAGGGCUCCCAGACUCCGCUCUCAGAGACUCUGAGGAGAGACCAGUGUUCCCAGUCCUGAUCUGACUCACUGGGACUCUCUGUCUCUGUCUCUGGCUUUGAGUCCACAACAUUUACCAGCUUAUUGUAAUGUUUCACCAUCAUUUCAGUGUCUGCUCAGAAUAAAGAUCACUUCAUCAAAUCAAACUGUUGUCACGUUCAUCACUGGUCAGGUGUCUUCAUGCUCUUUCUCCUGGUGAUGACUGUGUUUUAAAACCACUGAAGAAAAUGUGAGAAAAUAACUGCUUCAAGUGGAACUUAAAAACAUCCA